rnacentral:rRNA from 1 species
AUGAACGCUAGCGGCAGGCCUAAUACCUGCAAGUCGGACGGGAUCCAUUGAUAGCUUGCUCUCAAUGGUGAGAGUGGCGCACGGGUGCGUAACGCGUGAGCAACCUGCCUCCAUCAGGGGGAUAGCCUCUCGAAAGAGAGAUUAACACCGCAUAAUAUCAACAGUUCGCAUGUUCAGUUGAUUAAAUAUUUAUAGGAUGGAGAUGGGCUCGCGUGACAUUAGCUAGUUGGUAGGGUAACGGCUUACCAAGGCGACGAUGUCUAGGGGCUCUGAGAGGAGAAUCCCCCACACUGGUACUGAGACACGGACCAGACUCCUACGGGAGGCAGCAGUAAGGAAUAUUGGUCAAUGGGCGGAAGCCUGAACCAGCCAUGCCGCGUGCAGGAUGACUGCCCUAUGGGUUGUAAACUGCUUUUGUCCAGGAAUAAACCUAAAUACGAGUAUUUAGCUGAAUGUACUGGAAGAAUAAGGAUCGGCUAACUCCGUG